CGAGACCCCCAGAUGACCGCGGUCCGGCGCAUCCGCGCGGACUGAGGAACUUCCGGGCUCCACAGAGCACGAUGGCGGAUAACGUCCGCCCAGGGCGACCUGAGAGAUAGCGCAACAGAGAACAGACCGCCCGGCCCGGCCGGGUAAGGGUGAAACGGCGGUGUAAGAGACCACCGGACGACCGGUAACGGAAGUCGCAUGGCAAGCCUCAUCGGGAGCAAGGCCAAGCAGAAGGCGUCAAGGGCUGCUCGCCCGUGCCUUCGGGUAGGCUGCUGGAGCCUGACGGCAACGUCAGGUCGAGAUGGAUGGUCAUCCGUAUGGUUCCUCCAUACGACAGAACCCGGGGUACCGGGGGUCUCGUUUC
rnacentral:RNase_P_RNA from 1 species